GAUGAUGAUGAUAAUAAUAAUAAUAAAAUCUUCAUUAAGUGCAUAAACUUCAAGCUCACACAACUAAGAACAUUAACUUUGAAAGUUAUUACUGUCAAGAACAUUUUGAGAAUCAUUGAGACGAAUUAUUGACAAAGGUCAAAUUGAAUAAAACUUAAUAUCAUUUGCUGAUUUAACACAUAUACAUGAUAAUGAACUUGAAUGCUUCAAAAUCUUUCAUUUUUUGAGUAUCCUGGCAUUUGAAUAUGAAAUGAAUCACCAAAUAUCUCCCUUGCUUUUUUGAAUAAUCAUUGAGAAAGAAAACGACCGAUGAGAGUGUGUUAAUUCUUUUUUGGAAAUUUUCAAUGGUUAAAAUAGAAUAAAUAAGGUGGAUGUAAGUCCGUAUCUGAGCAGUAAACUUCUAAUUAUCUACCAAACACACCUACAUCAAUGAUAUUUUCACCAAUUAAAGCAACUUAUAGAUCUUUCGUCACCAUCAUCUCAAUAAAAAUUUCUUCAAAAGAUUGUCUUUCAAUCUUCAAUAAACACAUUGUUUAACUUCUCUUAUGCUUGUGAUCAAACAGAUGAGUGAAACAUCAACUAUCUCCAACCUUCCACUCUCCAUGCUAGUUAAAAUCAUAAAAUGCCAUCAACAAGAGUGAACAUCAAAGAAAAUUGUGUCAAGAAGUCAUAUUAAAAAGUAGAAUAUACACAUCUAUUCAUAGUGCAUACGAUGCUUCAUACAAGAAAAGAAGAUAACCAAUAUUAUAAUCACAGAAUUCUUUCCACAAAAUAGAUAAAGAAUAAAAAAAACUGCCAC
rnacentral:misc_RNA from 1 species